rnacentral:tRNA from 1 species
GGGAUUGUGGCUCAGUGGUAGAGCGCUUGCCUAGCAUUGUGCAAGGCCCUGGGUUUGAUCCUCAGCAUUACA